AGACACUUGUUUGGAAAGACAGAAAGAGAGAAUAAAGAAGAAAAACAGAACCACUCCACCUUGUGUCCUUUUCCUUUUUUUGUACGGACUGAUGGAGGAUCCAGCAGCCGUUACAUAUGCCUGUGCACGUACUUGCAAAUUCUAAUCUUUACUGCGACAAUACGAGCUAUGGCAAUGGAGUUAAACUGAGGAGGAACAUCAGGACAAGCCAAGCCAGCCGUAAGAGAAGGAUGGAACAACAGCUAAAGGAGAAGAACCAUCCAGGGGGUGUGGAGAAGUCUCAAGACUAUCUCAGGCUUCAAAGCACCUCCUGCCCAGAUGGAGGGGGACCUGCAGUGGGUAAAGCAGAGUUCCUACUCCUCCCAUGCGCACCUGGAGAGCAUCACCACCUGCUGUCGAGUAUAUGAGGGCUCGGCAGAUGACACUCGGAGCCAGACCGUCCGCGUGUAAACAUUCCUGCUCCCUCACUCGCUCCUGCUCCUGCUCCUGACCCUGCGCUCCAGCUCUGGUAGAGUCCACCCCUCGUCUUCGCCUCCUGUCCUGUCCUGGUCUCUGGCCUGCUUCUCGUUUCCUGCCCUGGUCCUCACUCCCUGGAUUACUCCUGCCCGGUUCCCCCUGGCCUCGUCUCCGGUCCUGCCUCGCUCCGGCCCUGGCUGUCUCCGUGUCUGCUGCCGACUACCCCCGCCUGACUUGCUCUGUUCCCGAGUCCGAUCCUGUCCUCGUCUGGUCCUGGUGUUCCCCGUUUCUGCUCAACACUCCGCACGCCUGGUUCGCCUCCCGUGCGUUUAAUGAACGAUUGACUCAUAUUAUUUCACAAACUGUUAAUAAACACUGUAAAAUUG